UACAGAGGUCUCAAGCGUUGUUCGGAUUCAUUGGGCGUAAAGGGCGCGUAGGCGGCGGGGUAAGUCGGGUGUGAAAUCUCAGAGCUCAACUCUGAAACUGCACUCGAUACUGCUCUGCUUGAGGACUGGAGGAGGAGACGUGGAAUUCACGGUGUAGCAGUGAAAUGCGUAGAUAUCGUGAGGAAGACCAGUGGCGAAGGCGGGUCUCUGGACAGUAACUGACGCUGAGGAGGCGAAAAGCGUGGGUAGCAAACAGG
rnacentral:rRNA from 1 species